rnacentral:rRNA from 1 species
UACGAAGGGGGCUAGCGUUGCUCGGAAUCACUGGGCGUAAAGGGUGCGUAGGCGGGUCUUUAAGUCAGGGGUGAAAUCCUGGAGCUCAACUCCAGAACUGCCUUUGAUACUGAGGAUCUUGAGUUCGGGAGAGGUGAGUGGAACUGCGAGUGUAGAGGUGAAAUUCGUAGAUAUCUGGGGGAACACCGGUGGCGAAGGCGGCAUCCUGGACCGGCAUUGACGCUGAGGCGCGAAAGCCAGGGGAGCAAACGGG